GGGACGAACGCUGGCGGCGUGCUUAACACAUGCAAGUCGAGCGGAAAGGCCCUUCGGGGUACUCGAGCGGCGAACGGGUGAGUAACACGUGAGCAACCUGCCCCUGGCUCUGGGAUAGCCUCCGGAAACGGGGAUUAAUACCGGACAUGACCUGCUGCCGCAUGGUGGCGGGUGGAAAGUUUUUCGGCCAGGGUGGGCUCGCGGCCUAUCAGCUUGUUGGGGGGUGACGGCCCACCAAGGCGACGACGGGUAG
rnacentral:rRNA from 1 species